AUUGAACGCUGGCGGCAGGCCUAACACAUGCAAGUCGAGCGGAUGAAGGGAGCUUGCUCCUGGAUUCAGCGGCGGACGGGUGAGUAAUGCCUAGGAAUCUGCCUGGUAGUGGGGGAUAACGUCCGGAAACGGGCGCUAAUACCGCAUACGUCCUGAGGGAGAAAGUGGGGGAUCUUCGGACCUCACGCUAUCAGAUGAGCCUAGGUCGGAUUAGCUAGUUGGUGGGGUAAAGGCCUACCAAGGCGACGAUCCGUAACUGGUCUGAGAGGAUGAUCAGUCACACUGGAACUGAGACACGGUCCAGACUCCUACGGGAGGCAGCAGGGGGGAAUAUUGGACAAUGGGCGAAAGCCUGAUCCAGCCAGGCCGCGUGUGUGAAGAAGGUCUUCGGAUUGUAAAGCACUUUAAGUUGGGAGGAAGGGCAGUAAGUUAAUACCUUGCUGUUUUGACGUGACCAACAGAAUAAGCACCGGCUAACUUCGU
rnacentral:rRNA from 1 species